CGUGUAGGCGGUCCGCUAAGUCUGAUGUGAAAGCCCGGGGCUCACCCCCGGAAGGGCAUUGGAAACUGGCGGACUCGAGUCCCGGAGAGGAGGGUGGAAUUCCUGGUGUAGCGGUGAAAUGCGUAGAUAUCAGGAGGAACACCGGUGGCGAAGGCGGCCCUCUGGACGGUGACUGACGCUGAGACGCGAAAGCGUGGGGAGCAAACA
rnacentral:rRNA from 1 species